CCUACGGGAGACAGCAGUGAGGAAUAUUGGUCAAUGGGCGCGAGCCUGAACCAGCCAAGUAGCGUGAAGGAUGACUGCCCUAUGGGUUGUAAACUUCUUUUAUAAAGGAGUAAAGUGAGCCACGUGUACCCUUUUGUAUAGACUUUAUGAAUAAGGAACGGCUAACGUCGUGCCAGCAGCCGCGGUAAUUCGGAGGAACCGAAGGUUUUCCGGAUUUAUUGGGUUUAAAGGGAUCGUAGAUGGGUUGUUAAGUCAGUUGUGAAAGUUUGCGGCUCAACCGUAGAAUUGCAGUUGAUACUGGCGGUCUUGAGUACGGUUGAGGUAGGCGGAAUUCGUGGUGUAGCGGUGAAAUGCUUAGAUAUCACGAAGAACUCCGAUUGCGAAGGCAGCUUACUAGACUGCCACUGACAUUGAUGCUCGAAAGUGUGGGUAUCAAACAGGAUUAGAUACCCUUGUAGUC
rnacentral:rRNA from 1 species